rnacentral:rRNA from 1 species
GACAGGUGCUGCAUGGCUGUCGUCAGCUCGUGUUGUGAAAUGUUGGGUUAAGUCUCGCAACGAGCGCAACCCCUAUCUUUAGUUGCCAGCAUUAAGUUGGGCACUCUAGAGAGACUGCCCGGGUUAACCGGGAGGAAGGUGGGGAUGACGUCAAGUCCUCAUGGCCCUUAUGCCUUGGGCUACACACGUAAUACAAUGGUACACACAAAGGGACGCGACCCGGCGACGGUGAGCAAAUCUCAAAAAGUGUGCCCCAGUUCGGAUUGGAGUCUGCAACUCGACUCCAUGAAGUUGGAAUCGCUAGUA